UUUGUUCCAUAUACAGGCUUCAAAUUUUAGAGCAAAAGCGGAGAUGAGAUUCAAUCAGCUUUAACUGAACAUCAAAAGCCAACAAUUUUACUCAGAAAAUCAGGAAAUAUAAAGUUCAAAAUUUCCCCAAAAUGUAGAGGGAAUUGUAGGAGGCGCAGAAAUUGAUCCAAACAUACAUCAAAAAGAGAAUGGUGAACAAUGAGAAUCCACACCCAAAUACAAUUCGGGGCAAAAAUUUUCUAUAAAACUAUUAGAAAAACAAAAGAAUGGAAUCAAUUGAAUUUACCUUGUAAGGAUCAAUAGUUUUCGCCUCUCCAAAUAACAGAACAAAAGAUAAAACGACAGUCAAUGACAAUGUAAAGCGCUUGUUCAUCUUCUGAAAAUCUGUAGUGCGAAAGGGAAUGUCCCACUGGGUGGGUGGAUGGCCGUGGCUGCGGGACUGAAGACGCGAAGGAUGGAGAGAAGAGACUCUGGCUGGCUUUCGCGAGUGGGUGGGUGGCUGUGGCUGCGGGACCGAACUGAAGGACGAGAACGGAGAAGGGACGAGAACGGUGAGGAGACUCUCGCGGCCGUCAGCGUGCUUCAACUGAGACUGAGGUUUGAGAGAGAGGGAGGUAGGUAGCGGCUGGCUGUAUGCGGGAGCGGGAUGGGAACCUGGGAAAGUGACGAAGUGAAGAGAUAUAACCCUAUCAUAAAACGUAGC
rnacentral:lncRNA from 1 species